rnacentral:tRNA from 1 species
UAUAUUAUAGUUUAAUAAAAAACAUUAAAUUGCAAAUUUAAAAAUAUUUUUAAAUUAAUAUAU